rfam:Methanosaeta harundinacea 6Ac, complete genome.
CAUACGCUGUGUAUGCCAACCAGUGGAUGGCUUGGCUCAAGCGCUGAAGAAGGACGUGCCAAGCUGCGAUAAGCCUCGGCGAGGUGCAUGGAACCGUCGAACCGAGGAUAUCCUAAUGGGAACUCCCAGCCUUAGGGCUGAUCCUUAAGGAUCGGGAACGCCCCGGAUUGAAACAUCUUAGUAGGGGCAGGAAGAGAAAUCAAAUCGAGAUGCCGUCAGUAACGGCGAGUGAACGCGGCAGAGCCCAAACCGAAUCCCUUCGGGGAGAUGUGGUGUUAUAAGCCUGGCUCAUUACAGUUCUCUCUUGCGAAGUUGAAGUUGCCUGGAACGGCACGCCAAAGAGUGUGAUAGCCACGUAAAUAUAAGCAGAUAGGGCUGGAGCCUUGUCUUGAGUACCGUGGGUCGGAUAUCUCGCGGAAAUUUGGGAGACACCAACUUCCAAGGCUAAAUACGUCUUGAGACCGAUAGCGCAGUAGUAGGGUGACCGAAAGCUGAAAAGUACCCCAUAGAGGGCGGUGCAAAGUGCCUGAAAUUGGUUGGUGAUGGAGCGAUGUGGCGUCAAAGGAUACUCAGCACGAAGGAAAACGUCGCGAGGCGUCGGUACGAGUGCUGAAUGCCAGCGUCACAUCUUACGUUUUGAAGAACGGGCCAGGGAGUGCAUUUGAGUGGCGAGGCUAAUCCGUUCAACGGAGAAGCCGGAGCGAAAGCGACAAGCGCGCAUCUUCGGAAAGGCGCGACGUAUACAAGUGCGUGGAGUCACUUGGAUGCUACCCGAAGCCGGGCGAUCUAGGCGUGGGCAGGUUGAAGCGUGGCGAAAGCUGCGUGGAGGACCGUUAGCGGUGUUGAUAUGCAAAUCACUCGCGUGACCUGUGUCUAGGGGUGAAAGUCCAAUCGAGCCCGGGAAUAGCUGGUUCCUUCCGAAACAUGUCGCAGCAUGACCUGACUGGAGGCCGUCGGCGGAGUAGAGCACUGAUUGGGGAAUCCGGGAAAGAAAUUUUUCGCUCUCUUGUCAAACUCCCAAACCGUCGUCGCCUGAGAAGGUCGGAGUCCGGACUGGGGGGUAAGCUUCCAGUCCGUAAGGGAAACAACCCAGACCGUGGUUAAGGCCCCAAAAUGUCGGCUAAGUGUUAACACUAAAGGGAGUCCUAGGCCCCAGACAACUGGAAGGUUAGCUUAGAAGCAGCUAUCCUUUAAAGAGUGCGUAACAGCUCACCAGUCGAGGUUUAGGGCCCCGAAAAUGGACGGGGCUAAGCCGACUGCCGAUACCACGGAGCACCGAAAGGUGAUCUCGUAGGAAGGCGUUGUGCGUGGGCAGAAGCGCCUCCGUGAGGAGGUGUGGACCACGUGGAAACGAAAAUCCUGGCAGUAGUAGCAGCAAAGUCGGGUGAAAAUCCCGAUCGCCGAAUGGGCUAGGUUUCCUCGGCAAUGUUCGUCAGCCGAGGGUCAGUCGGUCCUAAGAUAUGCCGCAACUCGAGCAUGUCAAAAGGGAAACAGGUUAAUAUUCCUGUACCAUUCAACAAUAAAACUGACGCUUCUGGGUAGGCUGAGCACCUUUGCCAGGGUGUUCAAGCGCCGAAACCUGCGGAGAGCCGUAAUGGCGAGAAGCAGGCGAAUGCGUGAUGACGUAAGUCAGCUCGCCCCAGGAGCCCGUGAAAAGGGAGUUGAAUGGCCGUACCGAGAACCAACACAGGUGUCCCAAGCUGAGAAGGCUAAGGCGUGUCAGGUUAAUCUGGCUAAGGGAAUUCGGCAAAUUAGCCUCGUAACUUCGGGAGAAGAGGUGCCUGCUUUGAAGAAAGCAGGUCGCAGUGACUAGGGAGCUCUAACUGUCUAAUAACAACAUAGGAGAUUGCAAACCCGAAAGGGCUAGUACAAUCUCUGAGUCCUGCCCAGUGCAGGUACCUGAAGACCCGGUUCAACGGGAAGAAGGGCCUGUCAACGGCGGGGGUAACUAUGACCCUCUUAAGGUAGCGUAGUACCUUGCCGCUUAAUUGGCGGCUUGCAUGAAUGGAACAAUGAGAGCUCUACUGUCCCUAGCCAGAACCUGGUGAAACUUUCCUCCUAGUGCAGAGACUAGGGACCCCUAAUGGGAAGUGAAGACCCCGUGGAGCUUUACUGCAGCCUGUUGUUGGGUUGUGGUUUCGGAUGUAGAGGAUAGGUAGGAGGCGUAGAAGCCCGGGCGCCAGCUCGGGUGGAGCCGACCUUGGAAUACUACCCUUCUGUGGCUACGACCCUAACUCCGAGAGGAGGACACCAAUAGGUGGGCAGUUUGGGUGGGGCGCCACGCCCUAGAAAAGAUAUCUAGGGCGCCCUAAGGUUGACUCAAUUGGGUCGGAAACCCAAUGAAGAGUGCAAAAGCAUAAGUCAGCCUGACGUCAUCUCGCAAAGCAAGAGACGACGAGACGAAAGUCGGGUUUAGCGAACCUCUAUACCUCCUUGGUGGGGGUUUUAGAUGACAGAAAAGCUACCCCGGGGAUAACAGAGUCGUCACCGGCAAGAGCACACAUCGACCCGGUGGCUUGCUACCUCGAUGUCGGUUCUUUCCAUCCUGGCCGUGCAGCAGCGGCCAAGGGUGAGGUUGUUCGCCUAUUAAAGGAGAUCGUGAGCUGGGUUUAGACCGUCGUGAGACAGGUCGGUUACUAUCUAUUAGGGGUGUUUUGUGGUCUGAGGGUAAGCUGGUUUUAGUACGAGAGGAACAAGCCAGCGGCGCCACUGGUCGAUCGGUUGUCUGGCAAGGCACUGCCGAGCAGCUACGCGCUAACGGAUAAGGGCUGAAAGCAUCUAAGCCCGAAGCUGUGCCUGAAAAGAGACCACUCUGAGGACCCUCGUAAAAGACGAGUUUGAUAGAGUCGGGGUGUACGCACCGAGGCAACGAGGUGUUCAGCCCGCGACUACUAAAAGUCCGCUCAGCAGUCC